AUUCGUUGAAUACAAAUAUGCAGGUUUACCUAUUACAAACAAUUCAGAUGUAAGGGAUGAAAACUAUGAGAAUUACAAUAAUAACUACCUGAGACAAAGUGAUGUGAACACACAAAAUAGUUGCAACUUCUUCCAUAAAUCAACGCAAUAGGUUUGACAUACAACACAGAGUGCCAGACUACAGUAACAUAGAGCCGAACAACAAGGUGAUU